CAAGAGAUCUUAUUUUCUUCAGCAUGUUUGGAUGAUUAAGCCAAUUCCUACUUGUUUUAAAGUUCAAUAACAUGUAACUGUGUUAAAUGUGCUCUGUUUGUCUGGAUAAUUCUACACAAACCGCCAAUGGUGGACUUGAACAGAUCGAUAUCGCAGUUGUUUGGUGCAAGAACAUAGAAUGAUACUUGGUUUUGCCUGCCCUCAUCAAAAUAUUUUGUGAGGAAAAAAGGAUUUUACAUUUGAAAAGACGAUCCUGCAUAUUUGCUGCUGUACAUAUUGCAGUUCAUCUCAUCUGCUGCUGGAAUAAAUAUGAAAGAUGUUCAAACCACUAAACAAGAGCCCCCUAGAGUCUGAAAUCAUGAUGAUUUUAUUAAGGAGAUCAGUGUGUGAAGUAUUUGUUUUCUGUGCAUUGUUGACAAUUUUGAAACUGUUCGGUUACUUAUGACUAGCUCUUUGACACAAACUUUGACAUUUGAAAUUCAAUUUGAGCGAUGGACAAGGAGGCGAAAUCAUAUGCAUGUAAAACAUCAUACGAUUGGAAAAAGACAAUGAUAAACUUAAAUUUAAAAAGAUUUCAUGUACAUGUAUCUGUGAGCUUGGCAUUGAAAUACCUGUAUACUUCUGAUGAAUUUGUCUCAUAAUGGAACAUUCAAUUGUUAUACAUUGUAGAUAAAAAAAAUUGUAGAUGAGAUUUAUUUGGCCCAAAAUAUAUAUAUUUAACACUGA